GGUGGCGAGUGGCGAACGGGUGAGUAAUGUAUCGGAACGUGCCCAGUAGCGGGGGAUAACUACGCGAAAGCGUAGCUAAUACCGCAUACGCCCUACGGGGGAAAGCAGGGGAUCGCAAGACCUUGCACUAUUGGAGCGGCCGAUAUCGGAUUAGCUAGUUGGUGGGGUAACGGCUCACCAAGGCGACGAUCCGUAGCUGGUUUGAGAGGACGACCAGCCACACUGGGACUGAGACACGGCCCAGACUCCUACGGGAGGCAGCAGUGGGGAAUUUUGGACAAUGGGGGAAACCCUGAUCCAGCCAUCCCGCGUGUGCGAUGAAGGCCUUCGGGUUGUAAAGCACUUUUGGCAGGAAAGAAACGUCAUGGGUUAAUACCCCGUGAAACUGACGGUACCUGCAGAAUAAGCACCGGCUAACUACGUGCCAGCAGCCGCGGUAAUACGUAGGGUGCAAGCGUUAAUCGGAAUUACUGGGCGUAAAGCGUGCGCAGGCGGUUCGGAAAGAAAGAUGUGAAAUCCCAGAGCUUAACUUUGGAACUGCAUUUUUAACUACCGGGCUAGAGUGUGUCAGAGGGAGGUGGAAUUCCGCGUGUAGCAGUG
rnacentral:rRNA from 1 species